CAUACUCAUUCUCUCUCUUCAUUUAGGGCUUUUAUUUGACUAAAAGAAAAGAAGGGGAUGAGAGGGAAAGUAGCUUUAGCCCACAGUCAAAAUGAAAAAGAGAGAGAGAGAGAGAGCGACGCGCUGUUGAUGGCAUUCGGCGAUGAGUUUCAAACGGUUACCCAGUGAGUGGUUCUGGCGGGUGUGCUUCCGUUAGAUUAGAGGCCGAUUUCAAGCUGCCAGAGGCGUCAGGGUUCGAGAAGUGUUUUUUGGCAUUGGCAUCGUCUUCUUCCGUGUUUCGAGCAAAGUCAACAUGGUGAUUUGGAGUCUCUUGGAUAUGUGCUUCUAUACUUUUUGAGAGAAAUUUAUACCAUUGCCCUCCCUACUUUUAUUACAAUCAAUUAGCUAUGCAUAAUAGUGCAAGGUGUAAUGAUAGUAAUUCCAUAUUUAGUAGAAUAUUUUAAGGAGGUCACCCAACAUAAAAUUGUUUCAAGCUAAUCACGCUUAACUUUAGAGUAGUCAUCGAAAAGGAAGGUGCACCUUGUUGGUAUAGACAUUAACUUUUAAUUCUUUUAAGACUUUCUUAACAUUGCUUGAUUUCAUUCUAGUUUUCUGCUUA